rnacentral:rRNA from 1 species
AGUGAACGCUGGCGGUAGGCCUAACACAUGCAAGUCGAACGGCAGCACAGUAAGAGCUUGCUCUUACGGGUGGCGAGUGGCGGACGGGUGAGGAAUACAUCGGAAUCUACUUUUUCGUGGGGGCUAACGUAGGGUAACUAACGCUUAUACCGCAUACUACCUACGGGUGAAAGCAGGAGAUCUUCGGACUUUGCGCGAUUGAAUGCGCCGAUGUCGGAUUAGUUAGUUGGCGGGGUAAAGGCCCACCAAGGCGACGAUCCGUAGCUGGUCUGAGAGGAUGAUCAGCCACACUGGAACGGAGACACGGUCCAGACUCCUACGGGAGGCGGCAGAGGGGAAUAUUAGACAAUGGGCGCAAGCCUGAUCCAGCCAAACCGCGUCGGGGAAAAAGGCCUUCGGGUUGUAAAUCCCUUUUGUUGGUAAAGAAAAGCAGCAGGUGAAUACCCCGCUUUGCUGACGGUACCCAAAGAAUAAGCACCGGCUAACUUCGUG